GACCUAUCUACACUACCGUCAUACGCAUAAUUGUCCCAUGUUCUAUGGGAUUUUCAAUAUUCAUGGUACAAUUAUGCGUAGAACGGCAGUACAGCCACAUAGUUUCAAAAGGCUUGAUGUAAAUCCCUGUUCACUACCCCUGCUGUAGGUCUGGCCUAGCCAAAAUUCUCCCGGAGCGAGGACAAAGUUCUGCCUUUCCGCUAGCAGCUGACAACAGCUAGCAGUUCACCAGAUCUCAUAUGUCUGUAUCGAACCCAUCCCAGGGUUCUAUCGCCAACCAAUCGGUGGGACACAUGAGGCGUCUUUCUAUGGCUCUACUGCAUCCGGACCAUGCACGGAUAAUUGCAUCAUUAGACCAAGCAGACAUCUCUAGAAGACAAUACAGAAUCCAUCAGUGCCAUAGGACCUCACCGUGCACAGCCAGUUCCAGCUCGACCUUCCUAUUGUCAGUCGUAGUUUCCAACGAAGGACUACAUCCACAAAGUCUGGCCUAGCCAAAAUUCUCCCGGAGCGAGGACAAAGUUCUGCCUUUCCGCUAGCAGCUGACAACAGCUAGCAGUUCACCAGAUCUCAUAUGUC